CACUGGACCACCAGGGAGGUAAUGAACCCCUCCCCCCAGCACUCCCAAAGGUAAGGGGGGGGGGGGCUAAAUAAAAAUAAAUAAAAAAAUGUGUUAAUGUGAGUGAGUGAGUGUGUGUCUGUUAAUGUGUGUGUGUUUUGUUAGUGUGUGUGUGUCUGACUGUGUCUGUUAGUGUGUAUGUGUGUGUGUCUGACUGUGUGUCAGUGAGUGUGUGUUUGCCUGUGUGUGUGUGUCAGUGAGUGUGUGUUUGCCUGUGUGUGUGUGUGUCAGUGAGUGUGUGUUUGCCUGUGAGUGUGUGUGUCAGUGAGUGUGUGUCUGUUAAUGUGUGUGUGUUUGUUAGUGUGUGUGUGUGUG